AUGAUAUGUAUUCUAUCCUCCACAUAUCCAUGCACAACCGAGCAAGAACAGCCAAUGGUCGAAAUGGCAGCGCUAAUUCUGGACAGAGAAGCGCCGCAUGUUUUUAUCAUGUUUUCUAAGGGAAUGCCUCUUUUUUUUCUGCUAAUACCUGUGCAAAUUAAGGGCCUCCCUGUAUCAUGCGCGUGCUAUUCACGGCGCAGAGAUGGAGAUGCUGUGGUAAUAUGUGGUGGUCGGCAAGGAGAAACAGGCGUACUGCAAGCAGCUGCAGGAUCUUCCAGCAGAUUAAUCUGUAGGCAAAUAAUUCCCAUGGCCAAAGGGGCCAAGCCUCCUGUUGCUCCUCCAUCCAUCAUUUGGACUGCGCUGCACUGCACGGAGACUGCAGGAUCAUUUGUGGGCACUCAUUCCAAGGACCGAGAACGAGCCUGUACUUCCGCUUUCUGUUGCCCCAUACAGGGAUCCUCUCCUCCUGGCCUCGAUCCAUCAGCCUCCGUCCGAGCCAUCUCGCCCCUGUUCAUCAUGCCCCAUGUACCCACCCACACCCCGUAA
rnacentral:rRNA from 1 species